rfam:Rhodnius prolixus Rhodnius_prolixus-3.0.3-173.15, whole genome shotgun sequence.
GCCAACGGCCAUACCAUGUUGAACACACCGGUUCUCGUCCGAUCACCGAAGUUAAGCAACAUCGGGCGUGGUUAGUACCUGGAUGGGUGACCGCCUGGGAACACCGCGUGCUGUUGGCA